ACGGCGAGUGAGCGGCAGAGCUCAACUUUGGAAUCGCUCCGGCGAGUUGUAGUCUGGAGGUGGCCACCACGAGGUGUUCUAGCAGCAGGCAAGUCCUUUGGAACAAGGCGCCAGCGAGGGUGACAGCCCCGUACCUGCUUUUGCUAGUGCUUCCUGUGGCCCACCGACGAGUCGAGUUGUUUGGGAAUGCAGCUCUAAGUGGGUGGUAAAUUCCAUCUAAGGCUAAAUAUUGGCGAGAGACCGAUAGCGAACAAGUACAGUGAUGGAAAGAUGAAAAGCACUUUGAAAAGAGAGUGAAACAGUACGUGAAAUUGUUGAAAGGGAAGGGCUUGCACCCAGACACGGUUUCGGCCGGGCCAGCAUCAAGUAGAACGGGGUUAAAAGACUUGGGGAAUGUAGCUACUUCGGUAGUGUUAUAGCCCUUGGUGAUGACCCCUGUUUUGCUUGAGGACAGCGGUCUCUAGGAUGCUGGCGCAAUGAUUGCAAGCCACCCGUCUU
rnacentral:rRNA from 1 species